rnacentral:lncRNA from 1 species
AGUGUUUCCUAGAGCCAUCUGCUGACAACACGAACAUUGGGCAUCUGACAGAGGAGAAAUAUUUAUAAGGUUUAGCUCCAGUAUCACAGGCAGAGCAAUGGAGGAUGGAUUUGGAGCUGCAAGGCAAUAAACUGGUAACUGAACAAAGCAAUUAAGUCAAUGAACACUGCUAUCCUACUGGCUUUGAAAUGAAGGCACACCCCUUCAGAGUGUACCCUAUCAGAAAGAAAGAAGAGGAAAAAAAAUUAUAAUUAUUAAUUCAUGAUGCUAUGCAGGCUUUGUGAGGUUGGAGGUAACUGCUAUUGAAGAAAUGCUUCAGGCCCUGGUCAACACAACGAAAGACAAUGAACAGAAAUCGCCAUUUGAUGUGAAGAGUGACUGUAAAGGAAGACAAGAAGAAGGCACAAGGAGAUUUGCUCCAAACUAGUUCUUCCCAUAAAAUCUCUGCCCCGGCCAGUUGCA